rnacentral:rRNA from 1 species
CUUGGGAACUAGGCAAAUUGACACCGUAACUUCGGGAUAAGGUGUGCCUCCGAGGUGGAGCAGAACAUGCCGAGCCAGAAGAGGUCGCAGAGAAUAGGGGGUAGCGACUGUUUACCAAAAACACAGGACUGUGCGAAGUCACGAAGACGACGUAUACGGUCUGACGCCUGCCCGGUGCUGGAAGGUUAAGAGGAGAGGUUAGACGCAAGUCGAAGCUUUGAAUCGAAGCCCCAGUAAACGGCGGCCGUAACGAUAACGGUCCUAAGGUAGCGAAAUUCCUUGUCGGGUAAGUUCCGACCUGCACGAAUGGCGUAACGACUUCCCCGCUGUCUCAACCAUGGACUCAGUGAAAUUGAAUUCUCGGUGAAGAUGCCGAGUACCCGCGGCAAGACGGAAAGACCCCGUGAACCUUUACUAUAACUUGACAGUGGUAUUCGGGUGGAUCUGUGUAGGAUAGGUGGGAGACUUCGAAGCGGGUGCGCCAGCAUCCGUGGAGUCAUCGUUGAAAUACCACCCUGGUCCUCCUGGAUGCCUAACGUGGGCGGCUGAAGCGUCGUCACGGACACUGUCUGGUGGGUAGUUUGACUGGGGCGGUCGCCUCCCAAAAAGUAACGGAGGCGCACAAAGGUUCCCUCAGCCUGAUUGGAAACCAGGCGAAGAGUGCAAAGGCAGAAGGGAGCUUGACUGCGAGACCUACAAGUCGAGCAGGUGCGAAAGCAGGUCUUAGUGAUCCGGUGGUUCUGCGUGGAAGGGCCAUCGCUUAACGGAUAAAAGGUACUCCGGGGAUAACAGGCUUAUCUCCCCCAAGAGUUCACAUCGACGGGGAGGUUUGGCACCUCGAUGUCGGCUCAUCGCAUCCUGGGGCUGGAGCAGGUCCCAAGGGUUUGGCUGUUCGCCAAUUAAAGCGGUACGCGAGCUGGGUUCAGAACGUCGUGAGACAGUUCGGUCCCUAUCUGCCGUGGGCGCAGGAGUUUUGAGAGGAGCUGUCCCUAGUACGAGAGGACCGGGAUGGACUGACCUCUGGUGCACCAGUUGUCACGCCAGUGGCAUAGCUGGGUAGCUAAGUCGGGACGGGAUAACCGCUGAAAGCAUCUAAGCGGGAAGCCCACCUCAAGAUAAGAACUCCCAGGGGUAACCCUCUGAAGGCCCGUCGUAGACUACGACGUUGAUAGGCUGGGUGUGUAAGCGUCGGAAAAGGCGUUGAGCUAACCAGUACUAAUAGGCCGUGUGGCUUGACCAA